rnacentral:rRNA from 1 species
GACGAACGCUGGCGGCGUGCUUAACACAUGCAAGUCGAACGGUAAGGCCCUUCGGGGUACACGAGUGGCGAACGGGUGAGUAACACGUGGGUGAUCUGCCCUGCACUUCGGGAUAAGCCUGGGAAACUGGGUCUAAUACCGGAUAGGACCAUUGCCUGCAUGGGUGGUGGUGGAAAGCUUUUGCGGUGUGGGAUGGGCCCGCGGCCUAUCAGCUUGUUGGUGGGGUGAUGGCCUACCAAGGCGACGACGGGUAGCCGGCCUGAGAGGGUGACCGGCCACACGGGGUCUGAGAUACGGCCCAGACUCCUACGGGAGGCAGAAGUGGGGAAUAUUGCACAAUGGGCGCAAGCCUGAUGCAGCGACGCCGCGUGAGGGAUGACGGCCUUCGGGUUGUAAACCUCUUUCAGCACCGACGAAGCGCAAGUGACGGUAGGUGCAGAAGAAGGACCGGCCAACUACGUGCCAGCCGCCGCCGUAA